rnacentral:rRNA from 1 species
UACGAAGGGGGCGAGCGUUGUUCGGAAUUACUGGGCGUAAAGGGCGCGUAGGCGGCGACCCAAGUCAGAUGUGAAAGUCCUGGGCUUAACCUGGGGACUGCAUUUGAUACUGGGUUGCUUGAAUUCGGGAGAGGAUAGCGGAAUUCCCAGUGUAGAGGUGAAAUUCGUAGAUAUUCGGAAGAACACCAGUGGCGAAGGCGACUUACUGGACACAUAUUGACGCUGAGGUGCGAAAGCGUGGGGAGCAAACAGG